UACGGAGGGUGCAAGCGUUAUCCGGAUUCACUGGGUUUAAAGGGUGCGUAGGUGGGUCUGUAAGUCCGUGGUGAAAUCUCCGAGCUUAACUUGGAAACUGCCAUGGAUACUAUAGAUCUUGAAUACUGUGGAGGUUAGCGGAAUAUGUCAUGUAGCGGUGAAAUGCUUAGAUAUGACAUAGAACACCAAUUGCGAAGGCAGCUGGCUACACGAAUAUUGACACUGAUGCACGAAAGCGUGGGGAUCAAACAGG
rnacentral:rRNA from 1 species